UUUCCGUAGGUGAACCUGCGGAAGGAUCAUUAAAGAGAAUAUGCCCUUCGGGGUAGAUCUCCCACCCUUUGUUUAUAUUACCUUUGUUGCUUUGGCAGGCCCGUCUUCGGACCACCGGCUUCGGCUGGUCAGUGCUUGCCAGAGGACCCAAAACUCUCAUUAUUAAUGUCGUCUGAGUACUAUAUAAUAGUUAAAACUUUCAACAACGGAUCUCUUGGUUCUG
rnacentral:misc_RNA from 1 species